AUUGUCGGAUUGGGAGCAAGAAGGCAUGCUCUGCUUACAUGAAUUGAUUAGUAGAGAAGAAGGACUGGUAGACGAUAUUCCACGUUUAAGGAAAUAUUUCAAGACCAAGUUUCGAAAUCGAAUUUUAGACUAUAUCCGUAAACAGGAAAGUCAGAAGCGUAGAUACGAUAAAGAACCCUAUGAAGAAGUGGGUGAGAUCAGUCAUCGUAUAAGUGAGGGGGGUCUCUGGCUAGAUGAUUAUUAUCUCUUUCAUGAAACACUAAGAGAUUAUAGAAACAAACAAAGUAAAGAGAAACAAGAAGAACUAGAACGCGUCUUAAGCAAUGAACGAUUUCGAGGGCGUCAAAGAGUAUUAAGAGACUUACGCAUUGUGUUUAAGGAGUUUACUAUCCGUACCCAUUAGUAAGUCAUGCAAAAAAAAUGAAAAAAAUUAGAAAAAGUAGUUGACAAAGUUUGAAAAGACUGUAUAAUAGUAAGAGUUGAAAAUAACAACUCAGGUCCGUUGGUCAAGGGGUUAAGACACCGCCUUUUCACGGCGGUAACACGGGUUCGAAUCCCGUACGGACUAUGGUAUGUUGCGUCAGGAGCACUUGAUGAAAAAAAGUUUAAAAAAACUUAAAAAUCUUCAAAAAAGUGUUGACAAGUGAAAGUGGCUGUGAUAUACUAAUAUAGUUGUCGCUUGAGAGAAGCAAGUGACAAAGACCUUUGAAAACUGAACAAGACGAACCAAUGUGCAGGGCGCUACAACAUAAGUUGUAGUACUGAACAAUGAAAAAACAAUAAAUCUGUCAGUGACAGAAAUGAGUNNNNNNNNNNNNNNNNNNNNNNNNNNNNNNNNNNNNNNNNNNNNNNNNNNNNGAUGUUGCAUGACAUUUGCUUAAAAGGUGCACUUGCAUCACUACCAGAUGGACCUGCGUUGUAUUAGCUAGUUGGUGGGGUAACGGCUCACCAAGGCGACGAUACAUAGCCGACCUGAGAGGGUGAUCGGCCACACUGGGACUGAGACACGGCCCAGACUCCUACGGGAGGCAGCAGUAGGGAAUCUUCGGCAAUGGACGGAAGUCUGACCGAGCAACGCCGCGUGAGUGAAGAAGGUUUUCGGAUCGUAAAGCUCUGUUGUAAGAGAAGAACGAGUGUGAGAGUGGAAAGUUCACACUGUGACGGUAUCUUACCAGAAAGGGACGGCUAACUACGUGCCAGCAGCCGCGGUAAUACGUAGGUCCCGAGCGUUGUCCGGAUUUAUUGGGCGUAAAGCGAGCGCAGGCGGUUAGAUAAGUCUGAAGUUAAAGGCUGUGGCUUAACCAUAGUAGGCUUUGGAAACUGUUUAACUUGAGUGCAAGAGGGGAGAGUGGAAUUCCAUGUGUAGCGGUGAAAUGCGUAGAUAUAUGGAGGAACACCGGUGGCGAAAGCGGCUCUCUGGCUUGUAACUGACGCUGAGGCUCGAAAGCGUGGGGAGCAAACAGGAUUAGAUACCCUGGUAGUCCACGCUGUAAACGAUGAGUGCUAGGUGUUAGACCCUUUCCGGGGUUUAGUGCCGUAGCUAACGCAUUAAGCACUCCGCCUGGGGAGUACGACCGCAAGGUUGAAACUCAAAGGAAUUGACGGGGGCCCGCACAAGCGGUGGAGCAUGUGGUUUAAUUCGAAGCAACGCGAAGAACCUUACCAGGUCUUGACAUCCCUCUGACCGCUCUAGAGAUAGAGCUUUCCUUCGGGACAGAGGUGACAGGUGGUGCAUGGUUGUCGUCAGCUCGUGUCGUGAGAUGUUGGGUUAAGUCCCGCAACGAGCGCAACCCCUAUUGUUAGUUGCCAUCAUUCAGUUGGGCACUCUAGCGAGACUGCCGGUAAUAAACCGGAGGAAGGUGGGGAUGACGUCAAAUCAUCAUGCCCCUUAUGACCUGGGCUACACACGUGCUACAAUGGCUGGUACAACGAGUCGCAAGCCGGUGACGGCAAGCUAAUCUCUUAAAGCCAGUCUCAGUUCGGAUUGUAGGCUGCAACUCGCCUACAUGAAGUCGGAAUCGCUAGUAAUCGCGGAUCAGCACGCCGCGGUGAAUACGUUCCCGGGCCUUGUACACACCGCCCGUCACACCACGAGAGUUUGUAACACCCGAAGUCGGUGAGGUAACCGUAAGGAGCCAGCCGCCUAAGGUGGGAUAGAUGAUUGGGGUGAAGUCGUAACAAGGUAGCCGUAUCGGAAGGUGCGGCUGGAUCACCU
rnacentral:rRNA from 1 species